rnacentral:lncRNA from 1 species
UAUAAUUUGGGUAUCUAUUGCUACAUUUUUGGGCAUAUAGAGAGUUAUAUGAAAGCUUUGAAGAAUUAAGAAGUGAGGUUUGAAAUUUGACUUAAAAAACUAUAUUUUAUCUAAAAAUAUCAAUAUAUUUCAGUCUAGAUCAAAAGAAAAAGAGCUAUUGAAAGUUAGUGUUCAAAAUUGGAGUUUAUAAGGGAAUUAUUUUUAAUGGAGGUUUUGAUUUUUGCCAUAGCUUGAGAUUUUGGACGAAUUUUUGUGUGGAGAAUUUUGAACCCAACUAUAUGGUUAGAUUGGAAGUUAUUGAAUGAUACAUAUAUAAAAGAGAUCCCUACAAAAAUAUAAGUAAAAUAGGAUAUUUAGUUACAUCUCAGGUACUCUUGUGCAUCUUAGACUUGUAUAUUUGAUGUCUAUGUCUUCUUGAAGACAAGCUAUAAAUCAUAUUUGAAUUUUAUAAUCUUCUAA